AUGAACGCUAGCGGUAUGCUUAACACAUGCAAGUCGAACGAAAAAUUUGAUAAAAUCUUUUUUUAGUGGCGAACGGGUGAGUAAUGCGUGAGAAUUUGCCUUUAGAAGGAGGAUAACUAUUAGAAAUAAUAGCUAAUACUGCAUAAAGUCUUAUCGAUGAAAGAAGAAAUUCGUCUAAAGAGAAGCUCACGUCUGAUUAGCUAGUUGGUAGGGUAAGGGCCUACCAAGGCGACGAUCAGUAGCUGGUUUGAGAGGAUGAUCAGCCACAUUGGAACUGAGAUACGGUCUAGACUCCUACGGGAGGCAGCAGUGGGGAAUUUUCUGCAAUGGGCGACAGCCUGACAGAGCAAUACCGCGUGAGGGAAGAAGGCCUUCGGGUUGUAAACCUCUUUUUUCAAGGAGGAAGAUCUGACAGUACUUGAAGAAUAAGCAUCGGCUAACUCUGU
rnacentral:rRNA from 1 species